rnacentral:pre_miRNA from 1 species
AAUAAGACAACUAUUCCGUUUUUAGAUAUAAUGUUUGACUUUUCGUCUUAUUUAAAUUUUUAUGGUUAAUGUUUUUAUUUUUAUUAGAUGAUAAAAUAUAAAUAGUACUUUAUGUGUGACUAUUUUUUUAAUUUUUUAAUAAGUCUUUCAAAUAAGACGAAUGGUCAAACGUUGAACACAGAAACCAAAAGAU